GAGGGUAUAGCUCAAACAGUAGAGCAUGUGUUUAGCAUGCAUGAGGUCCUGGGUUCAAUUCCCCGUACCUCCU
rnacentral:tRNA from 1 species